GGAUGUAGCUCAGUGGUAGAGCACGUGCUUAGCAUGCACGAGGUCCUGGGUUCAAUCCCCAGUCCCUCCG
rnacentral:tRNA from 1 species